rnacentral:rRNA from 1 species
AUUAGAUACCCUGGUAAGUCCACGCCGUAAAACGRUGAAUGGCCAGCCGUUGGGCCUGSCUUGCCAGGUCAGUGGGCGCCCGCUAACCGCAUUAAGCAUUCCGCCUGGGGGAGUACGGUCGCAAGAUUAAAACCUCAAAGGAAUUGACGGGGGCCCCGCACAAGCGGUGGGAGCAUGUGGUUUAAUUCGAAGCAACGCGCAGAACCUUACCAUUCCCUUGACAUGGCAUGUUACCUCGAGAGAUCGGGGAUCCUCUUCGGAGGCGUGCACACAGGUGCUGCAUGGCUGUCGUCAGCUCGUGCCGUGAGGUGUUGGGUUAAGUCCCGCAACGAGCGCAACCCUCACCCUAUGUUGCCAUCGGUUCGGCCGGGCACUCUUAGGGAACUGCCGGCGAAGAGCUGGAGGAAGGGGGGAUGACGUCAAGUCCGUAUGCCCCUUAUGCCCAGGGCUACACACAUGCUACAAUGCGCGGUACAGAGGGUUGCCAACUCGCGAGAGGGAGCCAAUCCCAGAAAGCCGCGCUCAGUUCGGAUUGCAGGCUGCAACUCGCCUGCAUGAAGUCGGAAUCGCUAGUAAGCGCGGAUCAGCAGGCUGCGCUGAAUACGUUCCCGGGCCUUGUACACACCGCCCGUCACACCACGAAAGCCGGCUGUACCAGAAGUCGCCACGCUAACCGCAAGGAUGCAGGUGCCGAAGGUAUGGUCGGUGAUUGGGGUGAAGUCGUAACAAGGUAGCCGUAGGGGAACCUGCGGCUGGAUCACCUC